CGAUUACUAGCGAUUCCAGCUUCACGCAGUCGAGUUGCAGACUGCGAUCCGAACUGAGAACAGAUUUGUGGGAUUGGCUUAACCUCGCGGUUUCGCUGCCCUUUGUUCUGUCCAUUGUAGCACGUGUGUAGCCCAGGUCAUAAGGGGCAUGAUGAUUUGACGUCAUCCCCACCUUCCUCCGGUUUGUCACCGGCAGUCACCUUAGAGUGCCCAACUGAAUGCUGGCAACUAAGAUCAAGGGUUGCGCUCGUUGCGGGACUUAACCCAACAUCUCACGACACGAGCUGACGACAACCAUGCACCACCUGUCACUCUGCCCCCGAAGGGGACGUCCUAUCUCUAGGAUUGUCAGAGGAUGUCAAGACCUGGUAAGGUUCUUCGCGUUGCUUCGAAUUAAACCACAUGCUCCACCGCUUGUGCGGGCCCCCGUCAAUUCCUUUGAGUUUCAGUCUUGCGACCGUACUCCCCAGGCGGAGUGCUUAAUGCGUUAGCUGCAGCACUAAGGGGCGGAAACCCCCUAACACUUAGCACUCAUCGUUUACGGCGUGGACUACCAGGGUAUCUAAUCCUGUUCGCUCCCCACGCUUUCGCUCCUCAGCGUCAGUUACAGACCAGAGAGUCGCCUUCGCCACUGGUGUUCCUCCACAUCUCUACGCAUUUCACCGCUACACGUGGAAUUCCACUCUCCUCUUCUGCACUCAAGUUCCCCAGUUUCCAAUGACCCUCCCCGGUUGAGCCGGGGGCUUUCACAUCAGACUUAAGAAACCGCCUGCGAGCCCUUUUACGCCCAAUAAUUC
rnacentral:rRNA from 1 species